GGGGUUGUGGCUCAGUGGAAGAGCACUUGCCUAGCAUGUAUGAGGCACUGGGUUUGAUCCUCAGCACCA
rnacentral:tRNA from 1 species